rnacentral:rRNA from 1 species
CGUUCAAGACUAGCCAUGCACGUCUAAGUACAAACUAAAUGAUGGUGAAACUGCAAAUGGCUCAUUACAACGGUUAUGAUGUACCCGGGAGUUCCGAUGGAUAUUUCCAGUAACACUAGAACUAAUACAUGUCCCUGCGUUUAUUAGUUUCGCACAGUCCGUCGCUGAGUCAUGGUAAACAGUUGAUCGACUCGACGUCCCGGAACAGUUUCCGCCCCAUCAGCUUCGAUGGUUGGGUAUUGGCCUACCAUUGCAACAACGGGUAACGAGGAAUUAGGGUUUGAUUUCGGAGAGGGAGCCUGAGAAACGGCUACCACAUCUACGGAUGGCAGCAGGCGCGCAAAUUACCCAAUGCAGACACUGUGAGGUAGUGACGAGAAAUAAUAAAGCGGGACUUCUGUUUCGCUAUUAUAAUGAGGAAUAACCAAAGGUCAUUCCGAUUAGCAACUGAUGGGAAAGUCUGGUGCCAGCAGCCGCGGUAAUACCAGCGUCAGUAGCAU